AUUGAACGCUGGCGGCAGGCCUAACACAUGCAAGUCGAACGAGUGGCGGACGGGUGAGUAAUGUCUGGGAAACUGCCUGAUGGAGGGGGAUAACUACUGGAAACGGUACCUAAUACCGCUUACCAAUGGAUGUGCCCAGAUGGGAUUAGCUAGUAGGUGGGGUAACGGCUCACCUAGGCGACGAUCCCUAGCUGGUCUGAGAGGAUGACCCGCCACACGGGAACUGGGACACGGUCCAGACUCCUACGGGAGGCAGCAGUGGGGAAUAGUGCACAAUGGGCGCAAGCCUGAUGCAGCCAUGCCGCGUGUAUGAAGAAGGCCUUCGGGUUGUAAAGUACUUUCCGCGGGGAGGCGUUACCCGCAGAAGAAGCACCGGCUAACUCCGUGCCAGCCGCCGCGGUAAUUC
rnacentral:rRNA from 1 species